rnacentral:rRNA from 1 species
AUGGCGGCAACCACAGCCGCAUGCACAGGCGUCUGGCUCCGGCGGAUGCUUUGUGAUCUAUUGGGAGAUCCAGGGAGUGCAACACCACUGCUCAUCGACAACAAGUCAGCAAUCCAACUUUGCAAGAAUCCAGUCUUCCAUGACGGAACCAAGCACAUCGAGACGCGGUUUCACUUCAUCCGUGAGUGUGUUCAAGAUGGAAGGAUCGUCGUCGACUACAUCCACACCGGCGAGCAACUGGCUGACAUCAUGACCAAGGCUCUGCCACGGGUGAAGUUCCAGGAGCUGCGAGAGAAGUUGGGCAUGAUCGACAUCAGCAGCUGA